GUGGGGAAUCUUGCGCAAUGGGCGAAAGCCUGACGCAGCCAUGCCGCGUGAAUGAUGAAGGUCUUAGGAUUGUAAAAUUCUUUCACCGGGGACGAUAAUGACGGUACCCGGAGAAGAAGCUCCGGCUAACUUCGUGCCAGCAGCCGCGGUAAUACGAAGGGGGCUAGCGUUGCUCGGAAUUACUGGGCGUGAAGGGCGCGUAGGCGGACAGCUUAGUCAGAGGUGAAAGCCCAGGGCUCAACCUUGGAAUUGCCUUUGAUACUGGCUGUCUUGAGUUUGGGAGAGGUGAGUGGAACUCCGAGUGUAGAGGUGAAAUUCGUAGAUAUUCGGAAGAACACCAGUGGCGAAGGCGACUCACUGGCCCAAUACUGACGCUGAGGCGCGAAAGCGUGGGGAGCAAACAGGAUUGGAUACCCGUGUAGUCC
rnacentral:rRNA from 1 species